CCUACGGGUGGCAGCAGUGAGGAAUAUUGGUCAAUGGACGAGAGUCUGAACCAGCCAAGUAGCGUGAAGGAUGACUGCCCUAUGGGUUGUAAACUUCUUUUAUAUGGGAAUAAAAUGUUCCACGUGUGGGAUUUUGUAUGUACCAUAUGAAUAAGGAUCGGCUAACUCCGUCCCAGCAGCCGCGGUAAUACGGAGGAUCCGAGCGUUAUCCGGAUUUAUUGGGUUUAAAGGUGGCGUAGGUGGAUUGUUAAGUCAGUUGUGAAAGUUUGCGGCCAAAGCGGAAAAUUGCAGUUGAAACUGGCAGUCUGGAGUACAGUAGAGGUGGGAGGAAUGCGUGGUGUAGCGGUGAAAUGCUUAGAUAUCACGAAGAACUCCGAUUGUGAAGGCAGCUCACUGGACUGCAACUGACACUGAGGCUCGAAAGUGUGGGUAUCAAACAGGAUUAGAUACCCGGGUAGUC
rnacentral:rRNA from 1 species